rnacentral:rRNA from 1 species
UACAGAGGUCUCAAGCGUUGUUCGGAUUCAUUGGGCGUAAAGGUGUGUAGGUGGCGCCGUAAGUCGGGUGUGAAAUUUCGGAGCUUAACUCCGAAACUGCAUUCGAUACUGCGGUGCUUGAGGACUGGAGAGGAGACUGGAAUUAUGGUGUAGCGGUGAAAUGCGUAGAGAUCAUAGGAAGACCAGUGCGAAGGCGGGUCUCUGGACAGU